GGAAUGCGUUGGCCACAUCCGCUAACCAUCUAGUUCUUGCUAUGGGGUCCCGCGCCCCGUGGUAGUAUGGAGCUCCACAUGGCCGGAACUCCCUGAAAGUAAGCGUGCGCGACCCCAUCAUGGCCGCCACCUCAGCACGAAAGGUGCCUAGCUUCUCCUCCAUCAACUCUAGUAUACCCUCCUUGAUCGAACCAAAGAUCACUCGAGUCUGCUCAAGAAUGAUACGAGUGACUUCUGAAGUGAAGAACUCUCUGGUCUGCUCAUCUAACUGUUCGGCUCCUGAGCCUGAUCCCGAUCCUCCUCCGGCACCUGAACUGUCGCCUGCUGGUCUAGAGCGUAAAACCACCAUUCUGAAAACACAUUACGAUAAAUGUCAGAAACACUGAUAUAUCUCGAGGGAUCACUACUAAUACAGACCCUCCGGUCUCAUCUCGGCCUUCCUUGAUUCGAGUACAGAUCCUCUACUUCCAGUAGUAUGGGCCCCUACUACCUUCCACAUCUAUCCGUACUUUCCUCAAGGACUGCCUCGACUCCACCCGACCACUACUACUGCUGCUGAUCUCUACUACACUCAUCCUAAGCUUGCCCUAGGGAAAUAUCUGACUCAAUCCUUACCAGUCCUCAGCUGCUGAAGGCCUCCUUGUGAUGCCAAUUAGUCAUUACAUGAAUGCCAUCACAUGUGGCGAGGCUCAGAUAAUCCUUCGAGUACAGAACUCGUCCCCACAAUGGUUAGACUCAAACAAGAGCUACGCAGUAGGGCCAAAUCUAACACUCUGAGAUUAUUUAACCGUGUUCACAUGUGAUGUGGCGCAUUCCCCUAACGGCUAGCUCCCAUCACUCAGUGUCCCACAAAGCACAAAGCAANUCAUCCUAGACUUGCCCUAGGGAAAUAUCUGACUCAAUUCUUACCAAUCCUCAGCUGCUGAAGGCCUCCUUGUGAUGCCAAUUAGUCAUUACAUGAAUGCCAUCACAUGUGGCGAGGCUCAGAU
rnacentral:lncRNA from 1 species